UCUACACCUGCCCCAGUCUGUCACUCUGUCGUUUUGGAGGUAUUUUCGUUGGCUGAAUAAAACCGGUCGAGUGGACCUCGCUUAAUGAACCAGACGAUGAUGAGGAGGAGACUUAUAUGGCAACUAGGCCAUAUCUUCAAAGAUUUAUUGGAAGGCUCUUAUCUAUCGGUGCAGGUCCUUUCUGGCAUGGCGAUUUGGCUGACAACAACAAGCAGAAGUUUUGGAGGAGCAGUGCAAGCAAAUAAGACAAGGAGCAAGGAUGAGGCGGCAUCGACUUGAGACGAUGAGAAGAUCUGGGAGUUUCUCUCUUCACAGAGCUCUUGACCGGCGCGGCUGCUGACUCAACUGAA